AGAGUUUGAUCCUGGCUCAGAACGAACGCUGGCGGCAGGCUUAACACAUGCAAGUCGAGCGCCCCGCAAGGGGAGCGGCAGACGGGUGAGUAACACGUGGGAAUCUACCCAUCCCUGCGGAACAACUCCGGGAAACUGGAGCUAAUACCGCAUACGCCCUACGGGGGAAAGAUUUAUCGGGGAUGGAUGAGCCCGCGUUGGAUUAGCUAGUUGGUGGGGUAAAGGCCUACCAAGGCGACGAUCCAUAGCUGGUCUGAGAGGAUGAUCAGCCACAUUGGGACUGAGACACGGCCCAAACUCCUACGGGAGGCAGCAGUGGGGAAUAUUGGACAAUGGGCGCAAGCCUGAUCCAGCCAUGCCGCGUGAGUGAUGAAGGCCUUAGGGUUGUAAAGCUCUUUCACCGAUGAAGAUAAUGACGGUAGUCGGAGAAG
rnacentral:rRNA from 1 species